rnacentral:rRNA from 1 species
CCUACGGGUCGCACCAGUAGGGAUCUUCCGCAAUGGACGAAAGUCUGACGGAGCAACGCCGCGUGAGUGAUGAAGGCUUUCGGGUCGUAAAACUCUGUUGUUAGGGAAGAACAAGUGCUAGUUGAAUAAGCUGGCACCUUGACGGUACCUAACCAGAAAGCCACGGCUAACUACGUGCCAGCAGCCGCGGUAAUACGUAGGUGGCAAGCGUUAUCCGGAAUUAUUGGGCGUAAAGCGCGCGCAGGUGGUUUCUUAAGUCUGAUGUGAAAGCCCACGGCUCAACCGUGGAGGGUCAUUGGAAACUGGGAGACUUGAGUGCGGAAGAGGAAAGUGGAAUUCCAUGUGUAGCGGCGAAAUGCGUAGAGAUAUGGAGGAACACCAGUGGCGAAGGCGACUUUCUGGUCUGUAACUGACACUGGGGCGCGAAAGCGUGGGGAGCAAACAGGAUUAGAUACCCCAGUAGUC